rnacentral:rRNA from 1 species
GUGGGGAAUAUUGGACAAUGGGCGCAAGCCUGAUCCAGCCAUGCCGCGUGAGUGAUGAAGGCCUUAGGGUUGUAAAGCUCUUUCGGCGGGGAAGAUAAUGACGGUACCCGCAGAAGAAGCCCCGGCUAACUCCGUGCCAGCAGCCGCGGUAAUACGGAGGGGGCUAGCGUUGUUCGGAAUUACUGGGCGUAAAGCGCGCGUAGGCGGUUCCAGCAGUCGGGCGUGAAAGCCCCGGGCUCAACCCGGGAAUAGCGCACGAUACUUUGGAGCUAGAGUCCGGGAGAGGAGAGUGGAAUUCCCAGUGUAGAGGUGAAAUUCGUAGAUAUUGGGAAGAACACCGGUGGCGAAGGCGGCUCUCUGGACCGGUACUGACGCUCUGGCGCGAAAGCGUGGGGAGCAAACAGGAUUAGAAACCCCAGUAGUCC